CCUACGGGAGGCUGCAGUGGGGAAUAUUGGGCAAUGGGCGCAAGCCUGACCCAGCAACGCCGCGUGAAUGAAUAAGGCUUUCGGGUUGUAAACUUCUUUUCUCAGGGACGAAGCAAGUGACGGUACCUGAGGAAUAAGCCACGGCUAACUACGUGCCAGCAGCCGCGGUAAUACGUAGGUGGCAAGCGUUAUCCGGAUUUACUGGGUGUAAGGGGCGUGUAGGCGGGGACGCAAGUCAGAUGUGAAAACCACGGGCUCAACCUGUGGCCUGCAUUUGAAACUGUGUUUCUUGAGUACUGGAGAGGCAGGCGGAAUUCCUAGUGUAGCGGUGAAAUGCGUAGAUAUCUGGAGGAACAUCAGUGGCGAAGGCGACUAUCUGGAACAUAACUGACGCUGAGGAGCGAAAGCGUGGGUAGCAAACAGGAUUAGAUACCCCAGUAGUC
rnacentral:rRNA from 1 species